UAUCACAUCCAAUAUAAAAGAUGCGUACCUGCAUGUGCCUUUAGGCUCUUGUCACCACUUAGGUUUUUCUUUGAGCCAGUCAGCUUUUGUACCAGGCUUUUCCCCUCUGUUUUACUGCUGUGCCCAGAGGUAGUCACCAGACUGUGGCAGUAGGUUUACUGAAUUCAUUACAAGAGGGAGAGGAUUCUGCCAUUCCGAACUUUGCCCACUUGGAAGCCUUUUCCUGAUUGUAUUCUUUCUUAUUUACUCUCUAAAUCUUGAAAUCUUGUCCUGUAGCAUUUGAUGAUUUUAAAAUCAUUUUCUUGUCAAGAUAUUUGUUGAAAAAUUUGAAGGUAUGUAAUUGGCUAAGACAGUUUGCUUCAAAAACCCCAAAGAAAGAAAGAGGAUUAACUAAAACAUUAGUUCCAUGUGGGAAAUCUGCGUUGUCUUAUUGAGGACAGGUUGUAUUUAGUAGAUUUAUUCUCAUCUUUUCUUUGCCAAAUCAUUCUCAAUAGAGCCUGUAAACCCAAAUAUUUUGGGUAAAAACCUAUUGAGUAGCAAAUUUCAGUCAUUUUAACAGUAAUUUAAUUGUUUUCUGUACUUAAGUUCAAUCACAGAUUUUAGAAACUGUAGUGAUUAUAUUUACUGAGUGUGUAGCUGGUAACCUAGAUUUUUGAAGUCGAAGUAACCAGAUUAGUUGCUCCUUAUUCUUUGGUAUGUUGAAUGUUUUCAAGGUAUUUUUCUUUCAUUAAGGUUUAUGAGAUUAUUCUCAAACGAAAAGAAUGUAAAAAGUAAAAAAAGCCAAAUCUUACCUCCCAACCUACACUUCCCCCAAAAGCGUGUCAUUUUAACCCAGAUAUUUUGAGAUUGUUAUCUACCUUGCAGCUUGCUUAGACAGAAAGUGUUAAAAUUAUUUAGGAGGUUACUUUUCCAAGAGUUUGUUCUGUUUUUCACUUUAUCCUCAUGCUACCUGGCACUUGUUGCUGGAUGUUUUGACUAUACUAAGACAGUAGUUGUCUUUCCCCUUCUUCGUCUGCAGUGUGAGAUUUGAGGGAGUAUCUGACUACCCUAAGCACUAAUGAGACUUCAAAGUACAGGACUGUGCAGUGGGCAGAUGCAGGAAAACAGUAAAGAGGCAACUUUUGUAUUAAUGUUUUUAAAAUUAUCAUCUGUCGUUCUGACUAUUCCAGUUCAGAUUCAAGUUUUUUAGUAAAAGAACUAUGUUGAUUUUAAUUAUAUUUUAAUGUACAUGCGGCAAAUGACUGUUAAUCAACUGUUGUUGAGGAGAUAGCAAAAAAUAUAUAGGGAAAAAUGAUUUUUCCAAUUCUGCUACCUUUUGCAUAGCUUCAUUGAACUUUAGUAAUAUAAAUUGCCAAAUGUUCCAUGUGGAGAAGUUAUUUCGAUCGUGGAGUAAAUAAUUAGAUAAUGAGGUUUCUAAUUUUGAGGUUUCCAUAGAUAUCAAUAUUUUUAUUCUUUAACCAUAUCUCAUUCUCUUAAGAUAUUCAAAUUAAUGGCAUUGUAAUUCCUUUUAAAGUGUUGAAUUUUCAGACCUCGAACUAGGAUUCGAUUUUUGAAUCCUAAUUGAGGCUUUACCUUAAAUAGAUUUAUUUGAAGUGCUUAAUUCAAAUGUGAAGCAAUCAUAGAAAUUAAUAAUUCUGUCUUAUAUAAUAUACAUAUUAGUCUAGGUCAUAUGGCAAUCUAAUUUGAAUUCCAUAAAAUAUAUAAAUUAUGGAUUUCUAAUGUAUUGAAUCCUUGAAAAUACCUUAGCUUUAAAAGUACGAGUUAGCGUAUGUUAGCAAAAGUGCAUCAAACAGAAUUCAGCAGUGAUUUCUGCCUAUAAUUAAAAAUGUAAGGUAGAGAUGGAAUUUAUAAAACCUGGUUAUGGUAGGGUAAGUAGCCAGACCCGUUUCUGUAUACUAUCAUCAUAUUUAAUGAGUGGCUGUCUUUUCCUUAUUUUAAAAAGAACUCUGCAGUGGGGUGGAGGGAACGCUUUUCAGCUAUAAGAUUGUUAUCCCAAACUGUAAGGUCAUUGAGAUGUCCUUAUUUGGUCAGAUACGUAAAAUAUGUCAAAUUCUUUUAACUAUAAUUGAACAGUGAUUUUGUUUUUAAAGGUGUCUUUCCCAGUUUCCUUCUUCCAUCAUCUGAAGAGCUCGAACUUCUGUUUCUUCCAUAUUUCUUGAUGCUGUCGUCUUUGAUGCUUUUUGGUCUCUUGCUGUUUUUUCUUUUAUCUUCAAAUCAAAGAAAUUUUAUCUUGGACCCAUUACUUCUUUCUUUUAAUUAUUAGGCUCUAGGGUGCUGAGUCUUAGGCUUUAGGUGUUUUUGAUAGUCUCUGAAUAUUAAUUACAUUCCUUACAGAAUAUUCCCUUU